rnacentral:rRNA from 1 species
UACGAAGGGGGCUAGCGUUGCUCGGAAUUACUGGGCGUAAAGGGCGCGUAGGCGGAUAGUUUAGUCAGAGGUGAAAGCCCAGGGCUCAACCUUGGAAUUGCCUUUGAUACUGGCUAUCUUGAGUUCGGGAGAGGUGAGUGGAAUGCCGAGUGUAGAGGUGAAAUUCGUAGAUAUUCGGCGGAACACCAGUGGCGAAGGCGGCUCACUGGUCCAUUACUGACGCUGAGGUGCGAAAGCGUGGGGAGCAAACAGG